rnacentral:rRNA from 1 species
UACGGAGGGUGCAAGCGUUAUCCGGAUUCACUGGGUUUAAAGGGUGCGUAGGCGGGCAGGUAAGUCCGUGGUGAAAUCUCUGAGCUUAACCCAGAAACUGCCAUGGAUACUAUUUGUCUUGAAUGUUGUGGAGGUAAGCGGAAUAUGUCAUGUAGCGGUGAAAUGCUUAGAUAUGACAUAGAACACCAAUUGCGAAGGCAGCUUACUACACAAAUAUUGACGCUGAGGCACGAAAGCGUGGGGAGCGAACAGG